CGUAAUGUUUCUUUACGCGAAUACGGAAACAACUUGUGGUGAGUCCCAAAGAUAUCCUUUCGAAUUCAGCCUUUGUAAAACCAUUCAAAGUUCUACGUAGCUAUAGACAAGUUAAGUUAUAAGUGCUUGAUAAUGUGUGCAUAUUUGGAUGAUCAUGCUUCGCAUUUCGAUGAUGGGAUUUUGAAUGUGGUGAAGGUAGAAGUUGAAUCUUCGGAUGAGCUUGGGGUUGAUGAGAGAGACGACCGCUCUGCCUCGACCGGCGGGGAAGGUUCCGCGGAGGAGGACUACGAAACCCGCUACCCGGAGGGCGACGUAACAGCUGGCGAACUUGGACUCGACGAUAAUCAUGAUCGCAGUGUUCCAACAUGGAUGCUUAAAAGAGUAUUGAAUGAAGACAAAAAUGACAUGGAGACUCGCAUUUAUAACAAGAAAGAACUUCAAUGUAUGGUAGAAAAUGUCAAUGACUCCCGUGUCUCGUUUGAACCAUUCACCAAUAAGAAAAUCCCUGUUUUUGACAAGUUUGUCCAAAUCUUUGUUGAUGGUAAAAAACAGCAAUAUACAGCAUGUGUUGAGUGCCGCACCCUCAUUAAAUAUUUAUCACGUGAUGGCACUCGAGGCUUACACCAGCACAGUUGCCCUCACAACAGAUCACACAGAACAAAGGCAAAAAAGGAGGAUAAUAUUAAUAAAGGUGUAAUGUCGGAGCCGGAGGUUGUACAUGAGGAGAAUUCAACAAAAAGUGACAGUAGACCUAUUUUUACUUCCAACUCAAACCACGACAGCCAUGCUCCAUGCGAUGGUAUUCGAACUAGAUACUCUUCUAGUGCUUCCAACAACAUUCCAUUGAUGGUGCCUUCAAACUCAAAGUCUGCAAAGACAAAGCGGGCCCCAAUUGAUGACGUGACUCAGAGCCUUGGACCAAGAGUGAAGAACAGGGUCCGAUCAGCAUCUCCUUCUCCCACAAUGCCAAUGGCCAAGAAAAAGAGGCGAUUUAAGACUUCUGCAAACAAUUAUUUCUUCGGCUUUGAAGAAGGGAUGAGUUCUCCAGUUAUACCACCUCCGAAGCAUGUCCUACAUAGCACCUUCCAUCAUGAAGUAUUACGAUCAUGGCAGAAUAUUGAUACUACCAUUACACCAGAUAAUCUAGUAUACCCUCUCUUUAUCAUAGAUAACCCAGAUCAAGUAGAGCCUGUUUCUAGUCUCCCGGGAGUAAGCAGAUAUGGUGUGAAUACCUUACAGGCAGCGCUUACUCCACUAGUAGCAAAUGGACUCAAAUCAGUUUUGCUUUUCGGCGUGCCAACCGGAUUGCCCAAGGAUCCAAGAGGGUCAAGUGCAGACAGUGAAGACACUCCGGUUGUUCAAGCCAUUCAAAUGAUAUCGGAGAAAUUCCCUCAACUUUUAAUCUGCUGUGAUGUGUGUUUAUGUGCCUAUACCAGCCAUGGUCACUGUGGUAUACUUAAUGAGGAUGGUACGUUAGACAAUACUGCAAGCAUUCAGAGGUUGGCUGAGGUUUCUCUGACAUACGCUCAGGCUGGUUGUCAUGUUAUAGCGCCCUCAGAUAUGAUGGAUGGUAGGAUAGGUGCCAUCAAGAAUAUACUCAUGAUCAAUGGCUUGGGUAACAAAGUAUCGGUGAUGAGCUACAGUGCAAAGUUUGCAUCUUGUUUCUAUGGUCCGUUCCGUGAUGCGGCCAAGUCAGCACCAAGCUCAGGGGACAGAAGAUGUUACCAGCUUCCCCCAGGCGCCAGGGGACUUGCUAUGAGAGCUGUGGAUCGUGAUGUAGCAGAAGGAGCUGAUUAUUUGAUGGUGAAACCGGGCAUGCCUUAUCUUGAUAUUGUAAGGGAUACAAAGGAAAAGCAUCCGCAUCUGAAGCUUGCCAUAUACCAUGUAUCGGGAGAGUAUGCCAUGCUGUACCAUGGGGCUCUACAGGGAGCUUUUGAUCUAUCAAAGGCCGUCAUGGAGGCUGUCAGGGGGAUGAGAAGAGCGGGAGCAGAUAUCAUUAUUACCUACUAUGUGCCUAACAUUCUGGAUUGGAUCAAGAACGUCUAGGAGGGACCGGUGUGACAUAUCAAUCAGCUCUUACAAAUAGAGAUAAUCUUUUAUAUAAAGAGCGAGACUAUAGGCGCUGCUUUUCCGACGGUGGCGGCGGCGACAGCUGUGGCAUCUUAAUCAAGGUUAAGUUUCAGGUCACAUGACCAAGGUCAAUGGACUUAGACCAUGUUGGGGGAAUCAAUAUUGAAACCAAGGUUAAG
rnacentral:misc_RNA from 1 species